UACGAAGGGGGCUAGCGUUGCUCGGAAUUACUGGGCGUAAAGGGCGCGUAGGCGGACAUUUAAGUCAGGGGUGAAAUACCAGAGCUCAACUCUGGAACUGCCUUUGAUACUGGGUGUCUUGAGUGUGAGAGAGGUAUGUGGAACUCCGAGUGUAGAGGUGAAAUUCGUAGAUAUUCGGAAGAACACCAGUGGCGAAGGCGACAUACUGGCUCAUUACUGACGCUGAGGCGCGAAAGAGUGGGGAGCAAACAGGAUUAGAUACCCCCGUAGUCC
rnacentral:rRNA from 1 species